rnacentral:rRNA from 1 species
UUAGAGUUUGAUCCUGGCUCAGAUUGAACGCUGGCGGCAGGCCUAACACAUGCAAGUCGAGCGGAAACGACACUAACAAUCCUUCGGGUGCGUUAAUGGGCGUCGAGCGGCGGACGGGCGAGUAAUGCCUAGGAAAUUGCCUUGAUGUGGGGGAUAACCAUUGGAAACGAUGGCUAAUACCGCAUAAUGCCUACGGGCCAAAGAGGGGGACCUUCGGGCCUCUCGCGUCAAGAUAUGCCUAGGUGGGAUUAGCUAGUUGGUGAGGUAAUGGCUCACCAAGGCGACGAUCCCUAGCUGGUCUGAGAGGAUGAUCAGCCACACUGGAACUGAGACACGGUCCAGACUCCUACGGGAGGCAGCAGUGGGGAAUAUUGCACAAUGGGCGAAAGCCUGAUGCAGCCAUGCCGCGUGUAUGAAGAAGGCCUUCGGGUUGUAAAGUACUUUCAGUUGUGAGGAAGGGGGUAGUGUUAAUAGCGCUAUCUCUUGACGUUAGCAACAGAAGAAGCACCGGCUAACUCCGUGCCAGCAGCCGCGGUAAUACGGAGGGUGCGAGCGUUAAUCGGAAUUACUGGGCGUAAAGCGCAUGCAGGUGGUUCAUUAAGUCAGAUGUGAAAGCCCGGGGCUCAACCUCGGAACUGCAUUUGAAACUGGUGAACUAGAGUACUGUAGAGGGGGGUAGAAUUUCAGGUGUAGCGGUGAAAUGCGUAGAGAUCUGAAGGAAUACCAGUGGCGAAGGCGGCCCCCUGGACAGAUACUGACACUCAGAUGCGAAAGCGUGGGGAGCAAACAGGAUUCGAUACCCUGGUAGUCCACGCCGUAAACGAUGUCUACUU